UUGCGACGGGAGGGGCGAUGGGCGCGGCUGAGCGCCGCCUCGGUGGGGCGCGGGGCUGAGGCGAGCGAGGUGGUGGACGGUUCUCUCGGCCCGGCGGCUCUCACUGGAAGACUUAAGCCACAGGCAUAACAAUGUAACUUCUACUUCUGACUACUACUGCCGGGAAUAUCUCAGGAAAACGCUACCCGAUUUCAAGGAACAGGAAAAUCUUCACACUAUAUUGUCACUACAAGACUAAAAACGUACUAAGCAAUCAAGUGUUAAGUAAAAUCCUGAAGGCCAAAAGAUGCAAGCCAUGAAACUUUAGCACACCGUUAUUCAACAAAGCGCUCGAGUUUUUCAUUGAGACUUGUGUGUGGACUUAACUGUUAGAGCUUACAACGCCUUGCAGGUAGCAGCAAAAGCUUAAAAUAAUGUUUUGCCCCACCGCCUAGCAGUGAGAUAGAAAGCACUGCUAUGCAACGCAAUGGUGGGAGAGUUUGGAAAUUGUUCCAGUGAGGAUGUCAGAGAAGUUGUUGAGAAAGAAUGGCUGAUGAAGAGCUGCCAAGCUGGAAUAUGAAAUAGCUUUUUAUAUUCCUUAGAAAGGUAACUGCUGCCUAACGCAUUGACCUUGGGCUGGAUUCCAGGUGUGAAAGGGUUUUGCUACGUCUUCUUCUCAACAUAAAGAGAAGUGACAGACGCAGAGGUAGCCAGGGAGCUGAGCAUGCACACAAGGGCAGUAGCUAUGACCUUGCCAUCUUUUGUGAAGAGGAGAAGCCCUCAGCUAUGCAGGAAAGGCUGCUGGUCUUUGGUACUUAAUACACGGGUUAGAUGGAGCCCAGUGAUACCCCCAAAGCUGCUUUUCUUCCACUCUCAGGCAUUUGAGUUGGCAAGCUCAGCCUUUUUUACUUGUUGCAUUAAAAAUAAGCAAUCAAACUAUCUUAUCAACUUUUCCCUGUGAUCUUAUUCCUCGUGGUCUCCACUGAAUCAGACAUCAAUAAGGUGAGUUUUGCUCAGACUAAAAAGAGAUUUGUCUGCAAGCGCAGUUUAUGAUAAUUAGGGGAAAAACAAGUUGGACAGGAUGCUGAAGAGAAAAUUGAGGCCUGGUAAUACGUGCAAACAGGGAGAGCUGUUGUUGUUUUUCAUCUUAGUGUUUUGUUUUUCAGCAGCAGAAGCUGUUGCGUUUCGCUUCCUCCAAGCAGGAGCUAAUAAUGAGCUACCAAUAACGAUCUACCGUGUGGACUAAUAAGGAGGCUGUCUUGCUAUUUUGUCAAAGCAUUUUUUUUUUCCUGAAAAAAGACCCUUGCAUAUAAUGAAGUGCUGUAAGUGGAAUGCUGCUUGGUGUCUGGGGUGCUUGGUUGCUCUUCCUUUUUCUAAGACAGGUAGAAAAGUAUGCUGGAAUUGUAAAAAUGAGUGGUCAUUUUACAGUAGAAGCGAAAAACCUGACAUCGAUGUGCAAGCAAGAUACACUAAGUUAUACACUAAGUCUGGAAUGCUUUUCCCUUGAGUCCUCUCUAUCCUGGGAGAAGUGCUAUAUCAAGGCAAUCUCCAUUCACGCUUGUACUGCUGGACCAUCACAAAGCAGCUGAAGCAAACUGGCAAAACUCCCUUCAGAGGUUGUCGACCACAUGGCUGCACAGGACCCUGCAAUGCUGUGCUUAAAAAAGCAAUCAAAUUCAAGUCAGCUUGCUUGUUGUGGGUAUUUUCUGGGAACUGUUUAUUACCAUGCCACAUCUGCUGACCAAUUUUUGCAUAAUAAACCUCUGAAAAUUAAACUCAGC
rnacentral:lncRNA from 1 species